rnacentral:rRNA from 1 species
AACUUAAAGGAAUUGACGGGGGAGCACCACAACGGGUGGAGCUUGCGGUUUAAUUGGAUUCAACGCCGGAAAUCUUACCGGGACCGACAGCAAUAUGAAGGCCAGGCUGAAGACUUUGCCGGAUUAGCUGAGAGGUGGUGCAUGGCCGUCGUCAGUUCGUACUGUGAAGCAUCCUGUUAAGUCAGGCAACGAGCGGGACCCACGCCCACAGUUGCCAGCGUACUCUCCGGAGUGACGGGUACACUGUGGGGACCGCCGCUGCUAAAGCGGAGGAAGGAAUGGGCAACGGUAGGUCAGUAUGCCCCGAAUAUCCCGGGCUACACGCGAGCUACAAUGGUUGGUACAAUGGGUAUCUACCCCGAAAGGGGACGGGAAUCUCCUAAAACCAAUCUUAGUUCGGAUUGAGGGCUGCAACUCGCCCUCAUGAAGCUGGAAUCCGUAGUAAUCGCGUUUCAACAGAACGCGGUGAAUACGUCCCUGCUCCUU